ACCGGGUUCUCUUUGUGGUGAUAUGACAACUCAUAACCAUUCCUUAUCACCGGGAGACAACCUGGUAU
rnacentral:pre_miRNA from 1 species